rnacentral:ncRNA from 1 species
ACUCGUCCGCCGAAUGACCAAGGGUUCCUGGGCCAGGUUAAUCCGCCCAGGGUGAGUCGGGACCUAAGACGAGGCCGACAGGCGUAGCCGAUGGACAACGGGUUGAUAUUCCCGUACCCGUGUGAACGCGCCCAUGGUGAAUCAGUGAUACUAACCACCCUGAAUCCCGCUUAUUCUUGUGCCUUCGGGUACCUGAAGGGUGGGUGGAUGCGUGGGACCUGAUCUGGUAGUAGCCAAGCGAUGGGGUGACGCAGGAAGGUAGCUGGGCCAGUCAGUGGUAGUACUGGUGUAAGCCUGUAGGGCGAACGGUAGGCAAAUCCGCCGUUCAUGAUGCCUGAGAGGUGAUGCGUAGCCGAUUGAGGCGAAUUCAGUGAUCCUAUGCUGCCGAGAAAAGCCUCUAGCGAGCUUUCACACGGCCCGUACCCCAAACCGACACAGGUGGUCAGGUAGAGAAUACUAAGGCGAUCGAGAUAACUAUGGUUAAGGAACUCGGCAAAAUGCCCCCGUAACUUCGGGAGAAGGGGGACCUUGUUCGGUGAUCAC